rnacentral:pre_miRNA from 1 species
UUUUCGUUUUUCCGUGUCCAACAUUUAACCAUUCGUCUUAUUUGAAAUUUUUUUGCGAUUAAUAUUUUUAUUGUUACUAGAUGAUAAAAUAUGAAUAAUACUUUAUAAGUGACUAAUUUUUUUAUAUUUUUAUAUAAAUUUUUUAAAUAAAACGAAUGGUUAAACGUUGGAUACGAAAAACGAAAAAUAAGGUUACC